CAGUGUCUGGGAUGGAGAGAAAACACAUCAAAAUUAUAAAAGUGAAAAAAUUCUGGAUGUAAUCGUGAAAUAAAAAACCAAAAAAAAAUAUAAAACGAAAAAUAUGACAAAAAAUAUAAAAUCUAAUAAAAAUGAGAAGAAUAAAGAAAAAAAAUAUAAAAUCUAAAAAAUCAAAAAAAAAAUUAUAAAAUUUAAAUUGAAAAAAUGUAACUAAAUUUAAUGUUUUUACACUUUAAAAGGCUGCUAGAGACACUAUAGAAAGCUCACUAUCCAAGUCGAUUCCCCGCAAAAACACCAGGAAGAAAAAAAUGGUCAGGACAUCCGCGGGUUUCGUGUUCCCACUACCACUGCGAGGUAACCCUCCCCUUGCAACUUUACCAUGGCCUGCAACUUGUCACGUGAUUCCAAUAACAAAUACCAGCUAAAAGGAUCAUCCCUUAGGCCAGUUGCUGCCGCCAAGUUUGAAAUCCAACCGGAACCCGUAUACCAUCUAGCGUGGGAAGACGGUAAAUCGGUUCAACAUCCUCGUUUCAUACCAAGCAAAUUAGCAUACCAAGAAUGUGUAUUUUCAAAGGCAGAUGUGUAAAAUUCAACUUCUUUACACUUUUAUAAAAAAUUUGUAAAAAAUA